AAAUAACGCGAGUCCGCGCCAGAACCGCCAUGAAUCAGGCACGCCCCCGUUCGGUCUCGAUAAUCCGACGUAGUUCUCACCCGUCCGAGUUCCCAAUCGCGUCCAGUCUCUUUCGCCGGCCUCGUCGCGCAUUUUCGGGAGUUUAGAGAAUCGCCGGAAAUCAAAAGCAAUAAAACGAGAGAACGAAUAAACUUAUUUUCCCGUCUCACCGUCGUCCAGGCGAGAAUUAAUCGAGGAAUAGUGUAACGGUAGCCGUCGCAGGUUCCUCCAUCCGGUUGACGUCGUUGACGGAGACACAGGAGAAAAGAGAACACGAGAAGAGGGCAAAUAUGUCCGGCUCUUCCUUAGCAAGUCGCGAACUCGCGUUGUGCGUUAUUCUGAUAUCCGGAUAUGGUACCGUCGCUCUUGAGAAGCACUGGUUGCCGGACCUGGAAUGGCAAACCGCCAGCAACUGGGCGGACGGUCGUGUUCCAGAAAUCGACAGCCACGUCAUUUUUCCCGAGCAGACCCGCCACGCGGUGGGUAUCGCCGGAUACCCGCGCGAUUUCAGAUUGUCCGCGCUCGAUCUACCCAGGCAAGGAUCCUUGGUCCUGCCGAGAAACGGUAAACUGCAGCUGAGCAACUCGAAAGCAAACGCGAAAGUCAGCAAAUGGUCGAGGACGGGUAAUUUCUUCUGGACGGAUCCCGCGAAUUGGAACGGUAGCUCGAUAGCGGCGCCCCAUCUCGAGCGCGUGCCUUGUCGCCAAGACAACGUCGUUCUGCCAAAUAUAAAUCACACCCUGAGCAUGUUGCUGCCGGUGAGGGAGAUACAGGUAAAGUCAAUUCGACUGCCAAACGAAGAGCCGUUCACAUCGUGGGAGUGGAUGAGCUUUCAUAAUCGUAGGGAGUUUUCCAGAAGCAGAUUCACUGUGAAAUAUAUUGAGUUUUCCCAGAUAUACAGCUGCCCAACCUGUUCCUGCCAAGAAAAUUUUGUUCAGGAUGAUUACCUCGAAGAGAUUUGCGCCAUCCAAAGGCCGAAAUGCGGAUUCACGGAUUGCGAGUAUCCUCUUACGGUGGAAGGUCACUGCUGCCCGUACUGCGGCGGACGUGUUUCCAUGUCAAAAAAGACGACCUCCUUGACUGUCGUGCAGACCACGGCGGAUGAGGUUCUGGAAGGAUAUGCGGCGCAGAUAGCCUGGCACGUUCGACGCACUUCGGACGGAGGUGUCGAGGUUCUCGUGAAGACUAAGGGCGACUAUUCCGGCAUCGUAAUCGAGGAAGCGGUAGAAAAUCUGCGGGAGAUGCUGCAAAACACGGGAAUUAACGUGAUGAUCGCGGAAGCGGCGGGCGCAUCCGUGAAGGAUUCUCGAUUGGCUGUCACCCUCGGGCCAUUUUUCGGCAUACUGCUCAUCCUGAUCGUUCUCUAUCUACUGGGCUGUCUAUACGUCGGUUAUUCUUUGAAACACAUUCUCUCGACAUGCAUGGAAGUUGUGUCAUCUGUUCGAGAUGGAAUUCAUGCGGAGAAACAAAAACACGGUUUCGCUCGUUUUGAAAACAUCCCAGAAGGGAAUGUUCAAAUCGCUGAAGUUGCCGGAACGAGCAGACAGCAAACUAAUGACGAGAGCAUAACGCAGCCAACUGGUGGUAGAUUUGAAAAUCCGUUGUACAGAUCCAAAAGGGAUAAGACCGAAGAACGCGAGAAACUAGAUCCUCCUCUUAGUCUCACUUCUCUCAAGGGCAAAAUGGAAGGACAAUUGGAAAACACGGAGAUGAACAACGAAGAAUAAAAGUUGAAAAAUAGCUUCCAAAAAUUAUUGCACACUAGAUAUCACUUGCUGACAUCAUGACUUAAAAUAACGUCAAUACACGUAUGCAGACAGAUUAUGUUAAUCUGAAAA